UUGCAACGGUAACCACCACCGAUCAUUUUCUUUUCUCAUCGUGGUAGUUACAAAUCUGAUCUCAGAACGCUUUCUGAUUAAUUAAACCCUCAAAAAGACAUACCGCCGUGGCCCAUUGCAACCGUCACCACCACCAAACACUUACUUCUGUAUGAACUCUCUCUUUCUGAAUCUGGGUAUAGGGAGGUACAAGGUAUCCCAAGUCCUACAAGACGCUGCGGAUGCUGGUCUUUUUGGUAUGUCGCACAAGUGCUUUUGUUGAAGGUUUCUGAAGAUAAAGCGUUACGAAUUUCACCAGGAGUAUAAGAUGAACGUGUAUUUCAGGGAUUGGAUUUUGUGGAGGCAGAAGCUAGAAAAUAUGGUCUUCCGUUGAUAUUAAGUUUUGUUAACAGUUAUAAAGACUUUGGAGGGAGAUCACAAUACAUUAAGCAGGCUAGAAGUUUGGGCGUUCUGAUUUAAUAGUGAUGAUGAUUUCUACACUAACCCUAGGAUCAAAGGGUAUUCCAGGAACCAUGUUGAGAGAGUUUAUAAAAGUAGCUAUAAAUAUAU
rnacentral:lncRNA from 1 species